CAGUGACGAGAUGUCGUUGAUCUUGUAGUUAUGACGGUUUUGAGAAACGGCCCCCGGAUUGACAACAGCUUUUAGCUUGCUGCUUGCAUCGAGAUCGAUCCUAUUUCUGCAGUAUUUACAGUGUUUUGACAGUCUUUAGCUCACUUAGCAGCAUGGAUGAGGGAGGGGUGCUAGUUGAGAGAACCAACAAUCCAAGAAAAAGGAAGCGAAAUGAAAAAUAAUGGGCCAAAAACCAGAACACGGAAGAUCAUAACACCGCUCCUGGGAAGCAACCAGCCAUUGGAUGCCAGCACAUACCUCACAGCCUUUGUAAGGCGUCUUUGCUGACAGAAGGAGACAUCACAGAUACUUUCCAGGACUGCUACAGAGACUUGAACAACCGCGGCAAGAUUCAUUCAUCAUGUGCCACUUACAACUCAAUCCAGUCAUGCGCCAUCGAGUAAAUGGUCCACAACCAAGGAGAGAGCGGAACUAUGCCCCAACAUUUCCAAAUUACGACACAGCAAGGGGAAAAUGUGGAGGUGUGCUCCGGAAGAUUCAGAUCCAUCCUUGUACUUGGUAGGAAACGUCUGGGCAACCUUAUGAAGUACGCCUGCCAUUCAAAAUCACAGAGGCCAAACGCAUCUACGUGAGACCAGCUCCAGCCCCAGUCACUGUCGCCAAGUAUUAUAGCGCACCUGGAGAUGAGUACACCAUGUUAAAGAGAGGAAAGAGAUGGAGUACUCUUCGGGUCAAUCAGCUCCCAUUGCUGAAGCAGCGGGAUGUAGCAAAUCUUCUACGAGCGAUGGGGGUGGAGCUACAAGUGGACCCGCUAGUAGGGUAUGGGCCACGCAACUUCAUUCAGGAAGUAGGUGCCUUUUACAAAGAGGUGUGCGCGCCUACUGAUGCAAUGGACGUAGAGAGUGAUGAGGACGAAGGCAUCAUUGCUGCCUAUGAAGAUUGACAUUUGAUUUUAUGCCUUUUACACAAUUAAUGGAUCAGUUUAAACUAUUUCAUUCAAGAACAAAGAAGGCUUCUAAAAUGUGCAUUCAUUGAGCAGUGCAGUUGGAAUCAAAUCCCGUUUUAUUACCCAUGUAUGCAUUUUGUUGUAAGUAGCGCUGGUAAUUAUUAAUGCAAAUUUACUAAACCAGAAUGCAUGCACACAGAUAAUUAAUAUUUGGCGCUUUGCUACCUUCACUGUAUAAUAACAACUAAUUGAUUGUGGCUAAUCUCACAACUUUACAGUAGAUUGUAGUGAUAUUGUAUGGGUAGAGUUUUAUUGCUCCUACUUCCAUUAGGAUGUUAACAAACAAUUAUUCAAAUAAUAUGUAUGCAUAAUCAGCACUCAAGUAUGUAUUUUAUCUGCUGUUUAUGAGGAGUCGGUUACAUUAGUGAACUAUGAAUAAUUUCCAUUGUAUGGUAUCUUCUUGUUGACACUCAUAUGAUAUUGUUAAAGAAACUGUACAUUAAUGACUUUAUGUUAAUUAUUUAAGUACUUGCCAAUUUUUGUAUGUCUUAAUUAACUCACCGUUAUGACAUGAGAUAAUGAGUAAAGCAAAUUUACAAGAUUUUCAAAUUUCACACAA